rnacentral:lncRNA from 1 species
UGGCCAAUAUGAUUACAAUAUAUGAAAAGAAAAAGGCAUAGGUUGUAAUUAAACCCAAAUGUAAUAAUUUAAUAACCAUACCCAACUUGUAGUUGCAAGCUAUAUAUAAAUAUGAUAUUGGAGGUGUCAACUCGGUAUAAGAGUUUGACAUUGUAACCUCAAGAAACAAAGUUAAAUAUUUUGUAAAACCAGCUGUAAAAGGGCAACCGAUGAGAAUCAAUAAAUUAAGCAUAAGCACGAAGUCUCAUUCUUAAUUACUUAAUCAAUUUUUGUUUCCCUUCGAAUGUAUUUGAAUUACUUAGCUAAUAAAGUAAAAGUAAUCAUUAACCACUAUUAAAAAAGUUAAAUUAUUGACGAGAAUUAGAGACUGAAAAAAUGAAACUGAUCUCCAAUUUUAAUCGGAGAUAAACUUCAUAUUUUUUGUCCCUCAUCAUUUCAACUUUUUUUAGUAGCGAAUUAGCAACGGUUUCCCUUCUUGCAAGUGAGCACACCAGAAGUAGUAGUGAUGGAACCAACAAGAGAGGCUGGUCUUGCACUAAGACUUGAAGCCCUAGCAUAGAUUGAAGAAGAUUCAGCACCAGUUUGUCUAAAGAAUGCUCCAUUCAAGAACAAAUCACCCUCUGAUCUCCAAUUCCAACUAUUAUAUUCACUUUCUGAUGCAUCUUCAUGCUUUGUUACUUCCUUGCUAAAUCUAUUAUCUGGUGC